rnacentral:rRNA from 1 species
CUGGCUCAGGAUGAACGCUGGCGGCGUGCCUAAUACAUGCAAGUCGAACGCUUUGUGGUUCAACUGAUUUGAAGAGCUUGCUCAGAUAUGACGAUGGACAUUGCAAAGAGUGGCGAACGGGUGAGUAACACGUGGGAAACCUACCUCUUAGCAGGGGAUAACAUUUGGAAACAGAUGCUAAUACCGUAUAACAAUGACACCCGCAUGGUUGUUAUUUAAAAGAUGGUUCUGCUAUCACUAAGAGAUGGUCCCGCGGUGCAUUAGCUAGUUGGUAAGGUAAUGGCUUACCAAGGCGAUGAUGCAUAGCCGAGUUGAGAGACUGAUCGGCCACAAUGGGACUGAGACACGGCCCAUACUCCUACGGGAGGCAGCAGUAGGGAAUCUUCCACAAUGGGCGAAAGCCUGAUGGAGCAACGCCGCGUGUGUGAUGAAGGGUUUCGGCUCGUAAAACACUGUUGUAAGAGAAGAAUGACAUUGAGAGUAACUGUUCAAUGUGUGACGGUAUCUUACCAGAAAGGAACGGCUAAAUACGUGCCAGCAGCCGCGGUAAUACGUAUGUUCCAAGCGUUAUCCGGAUUUAUUGGGCGUAAAGCGAGCGCAGACGGUUAUUUAAGUCUGAAGUGAAAGCCCUCAGCUCAACUGAGGAAUUGCUUUGGAAACUGGAUGACUUGAGUGCAGUAGAGGAAAGUGGAACUCCAUGUGUAGCGGUGAAAUGCGUAGAUAUAUGGAAGAACACCAGUGGCGAAGGCGGCUUUCUGGACUGUAACUGACGUUGAGGCUCGAAAGUGUGGGUAGCAAACAGGAUUAGAUACCCUGGUAGUCCACACCGUAAACGAUGAGUGCUAGGUGUUUGAGGGUUUCCGCCCUUAAGUGCCGCAGCUAACGCAUUAAGCACUCCGCCUGGGGAGUACGACCGCAAGGUUGAAACUCAAAGGAAUUGACGGGGACCCGCACAAGCGGUGGAGCAUGUGGUUUAAUUCGAAGCAACGCGAAGAACCUUACCAGGUCUUGACAUCCCUUGACAACUCCAGAGAUGGAGCGUUCCCUUCGGGGACAAGGUGACAGGUGGUGCAUGGUUGUCGUCAGCUCGUGUCGUGAGAUGUUGGGUUAAGUCCCGCAACGAGCGCAACCCUUAUUACUAGUUGCCAGCAUUCAGUUGGGCACUCUAGUGAGACUGCCGGUGACAAACCGGAGGAAGGUGGGGAUGACGUCAAAUCAUCAUGCCCCUUAUGACCUGGGCUACACACGUGCUACAAUGGCGUAUACAACGAGUUGCCAACCCGCGAGGGUGAGCUAAUCUCUUAAAGUACGUCUCAGUUCGGAUUGUAGGCUGCAACUCGCCUACAUGAAGUCGGAAUCGCUAGUAAUCGCGGAUCAGCACGCCGCGGUGAAUACGUUCCCGGGUCUUGUACACACCGCCCGUCACAGCAUGAGAGUUUGUAACACCCAAAGCCGGUGGGGUAACCUUCGGGAGCCAGCCGUCUAAGGUGGGACAGAUGAUUAGGGUGAAGUCGUAACAAGGUAGCCGUAGGAGAACCUGCGCCUGAA